AAGCGGCUUCGGCCGUCUCAACUGGUUGACUCAUAGUAACUGAGCUGAUCGCACGGUCUUGCACCGGCGACGUGUCUUUCAAGUAUCUGCCGUAUCAACUUUCGAUGGUAGUGUAUCUGACUACCAUGGUGAUCACGCGUAACGGAGAAUAAGGGUUCGGCUCCGGAGAGUUCGCCUGAGAAAUCGCGAACACAUCUAAGGAAGGCAGCAGGCGCGAAAAUUACCCACUCUCAGCACGAGGAGGUAGUGACGAAAAAUAACGAGACCAUUCUCUCAUGAGGCUGGUCAUCGGAAUGGGUACAAUUUAAACCCUUUAACGAGUAUCUAUGAGAGGGCAAGUCUGGUGCCAGCAGCCGCGGUAAUUCCAGCUCUCAAAGUGCAUAGAAUUAUUGCUGCGGUUAAAAAGCUCGUAGUUGGAUCUGUGCCGCGCCGCGUGGUCUACCCUCGCGGGUACGCACUACUGUCGGCCGGCUUUCGUGCCGGUUUUCCCGUCGUGGCCUUCGCCGGUCGCGGCGGGUGGCUGGCGAGUUUACUUUGAGAAAAUCAGAGUGCUCAACACAGGCGUCUAGCUUGAAUGAUUGUGCAUGGAAUAAUGGAAAAGGAUCACGGUCCUCUUUUAUUGGUUUUGUGGACUGAGAUAAUGGUUAACAGGGACAAACGGGGGCAUUCGUAUCGCUGCGUGAGAGGUGAAAUUCUUGGACCGUAGCGAGACGCCCGACUGCGAAAGCAUUUGCCAAGAAUGUCUUCAUUAUCAGACGAAAGUCAGAAGGUUCGAGGCGAUC
rnacentral:rRNA from 1 species